UACGAAGAGGGCUAGCGUUGCUCGGAAUCACUGGGCGUAAAGGGCGCGUAGGCGGCCGAUCAAGUCAGGGGUGAAAGCCUGUGGCUCAACCACAGAAUUGCCUUUGAUACUGUUCGGCUCGAGACCGGAAGAGGUAAGUGGAACUGCGAGUGUAGAGGUGAAAUUCGUAGAUAUUCGCAAGAACACCAGUGGCGAAGGCGGCUUACUGGUCCGGUUCUGACGCUGAGGCGCGAAAGCGUGGGGAGCAAACAGG
rnacentral:rRNA from 1 species